CAUAUCAGCCUUAUCACCCUGCAGCUCAAGACUAAGCUAAGCAGAGCUGAGCCUGGUCAGUACCUGGAUGGGAGACCACAUGGAAAGCUAGGUUGCUGUUGGAA
rnacentral:rRNA from 1 species